AGCCUGGUGGGCUACACUCCAUGGGGUCACAAAGAGCUGGACACGACUGAAGUGACUCACGCAUGUCCCGGCUGGAGAAAACAAAACACCAUACAAUACACCGACAAGCUAUAUGGUCUACUGAAUGAGAAAGCCCUACUCCCCAGUGCAAAUAAGAUGAAAUAUAAAUUUGUGAAAAUUGAACAACUGAAAGUAUUGCUUGAUGAAUGUUUUUAAUUACCGUGUCUUCAACUCUGGGAUUUCCUGUCUCUUACUCUCAUAGAGGCUGGAAGCAGAGGCUCCUAUCUUUCAACAACAGGUAUGAAUUCUGCCAACAGUCUAGCCAACUAAUGCUUCCAGAUAAGGAGGGAUUCACCUGGACUAGAGACAUAAAGAGUUUAUUAUUUUAAUGAAUUAAAGAUGAAAGUGGAACAUACCAACUCAAAAGAAGGCAACGAAAACACUGACUGGGUUUGAUACCCAGGUUUGGUUUCUAAGAGCAGCACCAAAUGCUCCCCAUCAGGCGGGAGAUGUUUUCUCGGCUCGUGUCAACCCUUGGCGCAAGCAGCUCGUUUCUUUAUAGUCUC
rnacentral:lncRNA from 1 species